AGUUUGGUUCUGCCUCUGUGUGAACUUUUAUGCAACAUCAACAAAUAGCCAUCUUUUAGCAUUGUCUUUAUAUCACACGAAUAUUUGAAAAAUCAAGAUGAUUAUAAUAAUGUGCAAAGGAGUAUUUAAAGCAAAUGCAUUUAAAAUGUGUGUGUGUGUGUAUGUGUGUGCAGAUAAAGAGUAUACCAAAUAAAUAGGUUACUUCUCUGUGGGGCAAAAUUUAGCCACAAUUUCUCCCUUUCAUCUGAUGCAUUUUCUAGGAAUUAGAAAAUAAUGUAGCAAGUAAGGUAGGAGUUGAUAGGGAGUGAAGAAAACUGUUCCCGAAAUAAACAGAGCUGACAUUUUCAGCACACUGAUAAGAACAGACAGUUUGACUUCUUACGGUUUCCGUAUCUUUGCACUCUGAACACUGGGAGAGUGACGUCAGAGUCCCUGUUGGCAGAGGGAAAAGUUUUACUUGAAAACCCUGUAAAAAGAUGAUGUCUUCCACACAUGCAGACCUACUGGAUUCUGGGAAACUCCUGGAAGAUGGGCAUUUCUGAAUCUCAUGGCUGGGUGCGGCGGUGUGGUUCAGACCAUGUUCCAUGGGGAGAGGCGGGCAGCGUCGUCCAGCAACAGGACAGGUGUGCUCCAGCGUCUCCAGGCGCCUAGACCA
ensembl:lncRNA